UCUGGAUCUAGGAAAUUUAGGAGAGUGA
rnacentral:piRNA from 1 species